rnacentral:rRNA from 1 species
GUAAAUCAGUAAUGAAGCACUCCCAAACAUCAGAAUGCUGAUUAUGGAUCGCAUCAUCAAAUGGCAUAGGCGUGCUAGUGAAAGUAAUGCCCGUGAUGGGAAUAAAUGAGAGAGGGGAAAGUGCCAGCUCACCAACCAGAGUGCCGAAGGUAUGAGUAGUGUUCAUCCACCUUUUGAGCAAGGCAUAGAUAGAGGUAUGGUAUGUCCUCCUAGUGACUUAAGGAAGUUUAGCUACAAACCCUCGAAAGCCGAUAUUGCCAAUCGUAGCCUGGACAGAGCUAGGGAGCUCAUAAAACCAUUCAUGAGCUCGAUAAAACCUUUUCAAUACAACAUCACCCUGAAAAGCUAGACGCAUAGGUAUUAAACAUAAUUUAUGCAUGAAAAGACUAUAAAUAGGUAAGUAUAUGUCUAUUUGUUGGUUAUUUUGUGCAACAAUGCCAUAAAAAUGUUGUUCUGCCCAUGCAUGGUCAAUUUAGACUAUGUAGAGCCGAUCGGUGUGAGCCACUCGGCAAGCACGGACCCGUUGGCCAGGACCCUUAGCCCCCUAGUGCACGUAUUGGCCGGAGUCGUCCUCAAGUAAACCUCCCUUAGGCGAGCAUCCUCACAGACGUGGGCUCGUUGGCCAAGAACUCUCGCAGCCUAGCGCGCGCAUUGGCUAGAACUCUCGCAGGUGCAGGCCCAUUGGCAGUGGAUCCUCGCAGCUCCAUCGUGCGUUGGGUGUGCCAGCCCGCGAGGGCAAGAAUCCUCUGCUGUGAACCUCUUUUGGUGAGAAAUCAGCUGCAGUGUACCUCUGUUGGCUAGUUUUCAGGCCUGUGCUGCGGCACUUUGCCACCACCACAUUUAAUGCCUCGGGAAGAGUUAUCUUUUCUAUUUAACAGCCCGCCUACCUUGGAAACGACUCAGUCGGAGGUAGGGUCUAGCGGCUGGAAGAGCACCGCACGUCGCAUGGUGUCUGGUGGGCCCCCAGCAGCCCAUGAAAAUCUAGAGGACCGAGUGCUAUCCACGCCCAGUCGUACUCAUAACUAUAUCAAGUUUCUAGGGUUAACAGCCUCUGGUCGAUAGAACAAUGUAGGCAAGGGAAGUCGACAAAAUGGAUCCAUAACCUCGGGAAAAGGAUUGGCUCUAAGGGCUGUGCCCGAGGGUCCCAAUCUUGAACCUGUCGCUUGUCGGCGGACUGCUCGAGCUGCUCUCAAGGCGAGAGUGGGUCGACGCGUGUCGGCCGGGGAACGGACUGGGAACAGCCUCUUCAGAGGCCUUCCCUAGGCGUUGAACAAUCGACUGAGAACUAGUACGGACAAGGGGAAUCUGACUGUUUAAUUAAAACAAAGCAUUGCGCGGAUGCUCACGCAAUGUGAUUUCUGCCCAGUGCUCUGAAUGUCAAAGUGAAGAAAUUCAACCAAGCACGGGUAAACAACGGGAGUAACUAUGACUCUCUUAAGGUAGCCAAAUGCCUCGUCAUCUAAUUAGUGAUGCGCAUGAAUGGAUUAACGAGAUUCCCACUGUCCCUGUCUACUAUCCAGCGAAACCACAGACAAGGGAACGGGCUUGGGGGAAUCAGUAAGGAAAGAAGACCCUGUUGAGCUUAACUCUAGUCCGACUUUGUGAAAUUACUUAAGAGAUGUAGGAUAAGUGGGAGCCUUAACCGGCGAUGUGAAAUACCACUACUUUUAACAUUAUUUUACUUAUUCCAUGAAUCAAAAGUGGGGCUACGACCCUCUUUUUGGACCCAAGUUUGGCUGGGGCGGCAUAUCUGUUAAAAGAUAACGCAAGUGUCCUAAGAUGAGCUCAACGAGAAUAGAAAUCUCGUGUGGAACAAAAGGGUAAAAGCUCGUUUAAUUCUAGUUUCCAGUAUGAAUACAAACCACAAAAGCAUAGCUUAUUGAUCCUUUAGACCUUUAGAAUUUGAAAAUAGAGGUGUCAGAAAAGUUACCACAGGGAUAACUGGCUUGUUCUAGCCAAGCGUUCAUAGCAAUGUUGCUUUUUUAUCCUUCGAUGUUGGCUCUUCCUAUCAUUGUGAAGCAGAAUUCACCAAGUGUUGGAUUGUUCACCCACCAAUAGGGAAUAUGAGCUAGGUUUAGACAGUUAUGAGACAGGUUAGUUUUACCCUACUGAUGAUUGUGUUGCAAUGCUAAUUCAACCUAGUACGAGAGGAACAGUUGAUUCGCAUAACUAGUCAUUGCGCUUGGUUGAAAAACCAGUGGUGUGAAGCUACUGUGCGCUGGAUUAUGACUGAACGGCUCUAAGUCAGAAUCUGGGCCAGAAUCGACGCAUCGUCCAUUGCUCAUUUGCCAACUAGCAGUAGGGGCCCUCCGGCCCCCAAAAAGCAUGUUUCAUUGGCUAAGCCCUCACGGUGGAUGAGCCGCGCAGGCCGCCUUGAAUUACAAUUUCCAUCGGGCGGUGGACUUAAUCCUUUGCAGAAGACUUAAAUAUGCGAUAGGGUAUUGUAAGUGGCAGAGUGGCCUUGCUAUCACGAUCCAUUGAGAUUUAGCCCU